AGGAUGGGAAUCGUCUGCACCAUCUUCCUGCCAGGGCAGGUCGCCAGGUGGGACCCUGAGGAAGGGACCUGAAACUUCCAAAGAACGGAGGAACUUGUGCCACUUGAUGCAAGCAAAGACAGUUUCUACCUGCCUGAGAUUUUUAUUACAAAGGUUGUUCAACUGGACAAUUACAACUCGAGAAUGGCCCAGAAAUCCAAGCGUCCUCCUCCUUGCCAGAGUACAGUCUCUAAACACGACCACCACUGUCUGCUAGGUCAUCUCUGAGAGUGCUGUCUCACCCAGAUGAAUACUUGACCUAGUUUUCUUAUAGUGCACUGGCAGGGACCUGCCCUGGUCUUCGGAAUGAACGGAAGAAGAAUGACAACCUCAGGGUGAGAUUAUAUAUGCAACAAGAAUGCAGGAGCUGAGAAGGCCAGAAGGCAUAAGAUCCCCUGGAAUUGGAGAGGCAGGCGGUUGUGCACUGCCUGAUGUGGGUGCUGAGAACCAAGCUCAGGUCCUCUGCAGGAGCAAUGGUGCUGCCUAAAUGUUGAGCUUCAAAGCCUGAAUGGUGCUUCCUUCAUGGAGUCAGUUCUGCUAAGGUCUGG
ensembl:lncRNA